rfam:Capsicum annuum cultivar Zunla-1 unplaced genomic scaffold scaffold2866, whole genome shotgun sequence
CGGGAUGUAGUGCAGUUUGGUAGCGCUUUUGUUUUGGGUAAAAAAUGUCACGGGUUCAAAUCCUGUCAUCCCUA